CAUGCACGCUCGGCACACGCACUUGGAACAGACCAGAAGGAACAGUGAUGCCCCCAGCAAUCAGAAGAUCAACUGGUACAGCAAGCGCACUGCCCUGCUGCGGAGGUGUCCUUCACCGCCAUUAGGCCUCCUUCUUCAGCAUUCCAGUGUAUGCUGAAGAGCAGCUGAGACAUCUGGACUCUGGACUGAACAACUGCUGCGUUCUCGGACUUUCUGCUGUUGCUGAGCUAGCUGGACCACAGACUAAACCACCGGGGAUAUGUAAAAAUUCUAUUAGUUCUGUUCCUCUAGAGAACCCUGACUAAUAAUAGAGCUCUCAGGAGACUCAUCUAAAGUCCUAUAGCUGGUCAUUAGAGAUUCUCUUCUGGAUUAAUAUCAGCUAGAA
rnacentral:lncRNA from 1 species